AAAAAUGCCAGCUAAGUUACGUCUGUAUGUACAGGCGCGUCAGAGGUUGGCUAGAGCGUGACUGGUUGAGUUCCUGGGGAAGCCUGGGUGAUUAACAGUCAUAUAGU
rnacentral:snoRNA from 18 species